rnacentral:rRNA from 1 species
GGGUUGUGAGGUUAAGCGACUAAGCGUACACGGUGGAUGCCCUGGCAGUCAGAGGCGAUGAAGGACGUGCUAAUCUGCGAUAAGCGUCGGUAAGGUGAUAUGAACCGUUAUAACCGGCGAUUUCCGAAUGGGGAAACCCAGUGUGAUUCGUCACACUAUCAUUAACUGAAUCCAUAGGUUAAUGAGGCGAACCGGGGGAACUGAAACAUCUAAGUACCCCGAGGAAAAGAAAUCAACCGAGAUUCCCCCAGUAGCGGCGAGCGAACGGGGAGCAGCCCAGAGCCUGAAUCAGUGUGUGUGUUAGUGGAAGCGUCUGGAAAGGCGCGCGAUACAGGGUGACAGCCCCGUACACAAAAAUGCACAUGCUGUGAGCUCGAUGAGUAGGGCGGGACACGUGGUAUCCUGUCUGAAUAUGGGGGGACCAUCCUCCAAGGCUAAAUACUCCUGACUGACCGAUAGUGAACCAGUACCGUGAGGGAAAGGCGAAAAGAACCCCGGCGAGGGGAGUGAAAAAGAACCUGAAACCGUGUACGUACAAGCAGUGGGAGCCUCUUUAUGGGGUGACUGCGUACCUUUUGUAUAAUGGGUCAGCGACUUAUAUUCUGUAGCAAGGUUAACCGAAUAGGGGAGCCGAAGGGAAACCGAGUCUUAACUGGGCGUUAAGUUGCAGGGUAUAGACCCGAAACCCGGUGAUCUAGCCAUGGGCAGGUUGAAGGUUGGGUAACACUAACUGGAGGACCGAACCGACUAAUGUUGAAAAAUUAGCGGAUGACUUGUGGCUGGGGGUGAAAGGCCAAUCAAACCGGGAGAUAGCUGGUUCUCCCCGAAAGCUAUUUAGGUAGCGCCUCGUGAAUUCAUCUCCGGGGGUAGAGCACUGUUUCGGCAAGGGGGUCAUCCCGACUUACCAACCCGAUGCAAACUGCGAAUACCGGAGAAUGUUAUCACGGGAGACACACGGCGGGUGCUAACGUCCGUCGUGAAGAGGGAAACAACCCAGACCGCCAGCUAAGGUCCCAAAGUCAUGGUUAAGUGGGAAACGAUGUGGGAAGGCCCAGACAGCCAGGAUGUUGGCUUAGAAGCAGCCAUCAUUUAAAGAAAGCGUAAUAGCUCACUGGUCGAGUCGGCCUGCGCGGAAGAUGUAACGGGGCUAAACCAUGCACCGAAGCUGCGGCAGCGACGCUUAUGCGUUGUUGGGUA